rnacentral:rRNA from 1 species
UGGGGAAUAUUGCACAAUGGGGGAAACCCUGAUGCAGCGACGCCGCGUGAGCGAAGAAGGCUUUCGAGUCGUAAAGCUCUGUCCUAUGAGAAGAUAAUGACGGUAUCAUAGGAGGAAGCCCUGGCUAAAUACGUGCCAGCAGCCGCGGUAAUACGUAUGGGGCGAGCGUUGUCCGGAAUUAUUGGGCGUAAAGGGUACGUAGGUGGUUUUUUAAGUCAGGUGUCAAAGCGUGGAGCUUAACUCCAUUAAGCACUUGAAACUGAAAGACUUGAGUGAAGGAGAGGAAAGUGGAAUGCCUAGUGUAGCGGUGAAAUGCGUAGAUAUUAGGAGGAAUACCGGUGGCGAAGGCGACUUUCUGGACUUUUACUGACGCUCAGGUACGAAAGCGUGGGGAGCAAACAGG